AUGCUGAGCCAGUGCCCGGGCCUGGAAUCGGACUGCAGCCUCCUCAGCUGCGUCCUCCACCUCCUGACCGUGGACCCCCGCAAAGUGAGCGAGUUUGGGGCCUUCGUGAAAUGUGUAAGCAGGAUCCGAGCAUUCUGCACACGGAGGAAAUGCGCUUUCUGAGGGAGUGGGUGGCGAGCAUGGGGGCAUAAAGUCCCACCUGCUACUCAGAAAGCUAAAUCAGAAGAAAAUAUUAAGGAAGAAAAAACAGAUAGUAAGACAGUAGAGGAAACCAGACAGACAGAGGAACCGUCAAGUGAGGAAAGUACCUAGAAAUUGUUAAUGAAGGUGUGACUGAGCCACACACUGAUGCCCCGCAAGAAAAGGGAGAUGAAAAUGUAGAGAUAACCGAGGAGAUGAUAGAUCAGUCAAAUGAUAAGAAAGUUGCAGCAUUGAAGCCCUAAAUGAUGGUGAACUACGGAAAGCCAUCGAUGUUCACAGAUGCCAUCGAGCUGAAUCUUCGGUUGGCCAUUUUGUGUGCCAAGAGAGCCAGUGUCUUCAUCCAAUUACAGAAGCCAAAUGCUGCCCUCCGAGAUUGUGAUAGAGCCAUUGAAAUAAAUCCUGAUUCAGCUCAGCCUUACAAGUGGAGACGGAAAGCACACAGACUUCUGAGCCAUUGGGAAGAAGCAGCCCACGAUCUUGCCCUUGCCUGUAAACUGGAUUAUGAUGAAGAUGCUAGAGCAAUGCUGAAAGAAGUUCAACCUAGGGCCCAGAAAACUGCAGAACAUCGGAGAAAGUAUGAGCGAAAACGUGAAGAGCAAGAGAUCAAAGAAAGAAUAGAAAGGGUUAGAGCAUGAGAGAGCCCAGAGAGAGGAAGAAGCCAGACAACAAUCAUGAGCUCAGUAGGGCUCUUUUCCAGGUGGCUUUCCUGGGGAAAUGCCUGGAAUGGGAGGAGGCAUGCCUGGAAUGGCAGGAAUGCUGGGACUCAAUGAAAUUCUUAGUGAUCCAGAGGUUCCUGCAGCCAUGCAGGAUCCAGAAGUUAUGAUGGCCUUCCAGGUUGUGGCCCAGAACCCAGCAACUAUGUCAAAAUACCAGAGCAACCCAAAGGUUAUGAAUCUCAUCAGUAAAUUAUCAGCCAAAUUUGGAGGUCAAGCGUGAUGCCC